AGAGUUUGAUCCUGGCUCAGGACGAACGCUGGCGGCGUGCCUAACACAUGCAAGUCGAACGGAGUUGAAAGGAGCUUGCUUUUUUCAACUCAGUGGCGGACGGGUGAGUAACGCGUGAGUAACCUGCCUUUCAGAGGGGGAUAACGUUCUGAAAAGAACGCUAAUACCGCAUAAGAUUGUAGUUUCGCAUGGAGCAGCAAUCAAAGGAGCAAUCCGCUGAAAGAUGGACUCGCGUCCGAUUAGAUAGUUGGCGGGGUAACGGCCCACCAAGUCGACGAUCGGUAGCCGGACUGAGAGGUUGAUCGGCCACAUUGGGACUGAGACACGGCCCAGACUCCUACGGGAGGCAGCAGUGGGGAAUAUUGCACAAUGGAGGAAACUCUGAUGCAGCGAUGCCGCGUGAGGGAAGAAGGUUUUAGGAUUGUAAACCUCUGUCUUUGGGGACGAAAAAUGACGGUACCCAAGGAGGAAGCUCCGGCUAACUACGUGCCAGCAGCCGCGGUAAUACGUAGGGAGCGAGCGUUGUCCGGAUUUACUGGGUGUAAAGGGUGCGUAGGCGGCGAGGCAAGUCAGGCGUGAAAUCUAUGGGCUUAACCCAUAAACUGCGCUUGAAACUGUCUUGCUUGAGUGAAGUAGAGGUAGGCGGAAUUCCCGGUGUAGCGGUGAAAUGCGUAGAGAUCGGGAGGAACACCAGUGGCGAAGGCGGCCUACUGGGCUUUAACUGACGCUGAGGCACGAAAGUGUGGGUAGCAAACAGGAUUAGAUACCCUGGUAGUCCACACUGUAAACGAUGAUUACUAGGUGUUGGAGGAUUGACCCCUUCAGUGCCGCAGUUAACACAAUAAGUAAUCCACCUGGGGAGUACGACCGCAAGGUUGAAACUCAAAGGAAUUGACGGGGGCCCGCACAAGCAGUGGAGUAUGUGGUUUAAUUCGACGCAACGCGAAGAACCUUACCAGGUCUUGACAUCCAACUAACGAAGCAGAGAUGCGUUAGGUGCCCUUCGGGGAAAGUUGAGACAGGUGGUGCAUGGUUGUCGUCAGCU
rnacentral:rRNA from 1 species